AACGAACGCUGGCGGCAUGCCUAACACAUGCAAGUCGAACGAGACCUUCGGGUCUAGUGGCGCACGGGUGCGUAACGCGUGGGAACCUGCCCUUAGGUUCGGAAUAACUCCCCGAAAGGGGUGCUAAUACCGGAUAAUGUCUUCGGACCAAAGAUUUAUCGCCUUUGGAUGGGCCCGCGUUGGAUUAGCUAGUUGGUAGGGUAAAAGCCUACCAAGGCGACGAUCCAUAGCUGGUCUGAGAGGAUGAUCAGCCACACUGGGACUGAGACACGGCCCAGACCCCUACGGGAGGCAGCAGUGGGGAAUAUUGGAAAAGGGGCGAAAGCCUGAUCCAGCAGUGCCGGGUGAGUGAUGAAGGCCUUAGGGUUGAAAAGCUCUUUUACCCGGGAUGAUAAGGACAGUACCGGGAAAAUAAGCCCCGGCAAACCCCGU
rnacentral:rRNA from 1 species